rnacentral:lncRNA from 10 species
AAAAAAAAAAAAAAAAAAAAAGGGUCUUUGCUGUCACAAUUAAGCCUCUCAACAUGAGAUCAUCCUGGAUUGUUUAGAUGGGCCCUAAAUAUCACAACUAGAGUUUUGUUGUUGUUGUUGUUGGUUUGUUUCUUUGUUUUUGUGACGGAGUCUCACUCUAUCACCCGGCUGGAGUGCAGUGGUGUGAUCUUGGCUCACUGCAACCUCCACCUCCCGGGUCCAAGCGACUUUCCUGCCUCACCGUCCUGAGUAGCUGGGAUGACAGGUGCCCCCACCACACCCAGCCUAAUUUUUGUAUUUUUAGUAGAGACGGGGUUUCACCAUGUUGGCCAGGCUGGUCUCGAACUCCUGACCUCAAGCGAACAACUAGCAUUUUUAUAAACUACAGAAGACGGUGGCUAUUCAUCUGCCCCCUCUCUCCUGGGUAUUUGCGUGUCAGGUGCAGAGAUGGAGUCUUCUGAGGGCGCACAUCACAGCGUAGACAGAAAGUUGAGGUUGUACAUGCCGCAGGUUCCAGAUGGAAAUCACUAGUGCCUCCUCUUCUCUCUAAUAGGCACACUAGACACAGCAGGUGCAUUUUGGCGGUGGGAUGAGGUCCGACAGUCACCUUUAUUUUUUAUUUAUGUAUUCAUUAGUAUUAUUAUUUUUUGAGACUGAGUCUUAAACUGUCACCCAGGCUGGAGUGCAGUGGCGGCAUCUCGGCUCACUGCAACCUCCACUUCCCAGGUUCAAGGGAUUCUCCUGCCUCAGCCUCCUGAGUAGCUGGGAUUAUAGGCGCCCAUCACCAUGCCCAGCUAAUUUUUGUAUUUUUAGUAGGGACGGGGUUCGCCAUGUUGGUGAGGCUGGUCUCCAACUCUUUUUUUUUUUUUUUUUUUUUUUUGAGACGGAGUCUCGCUGUCUCCCAGGCUGGAGUUCAGUGCCUCAAUCUCGGCUCACUGCAAGCUCCACCUCCCGUGUUCUCGCCAUUCUCCUGCCUCAGCCUCCCCAGUAGCUGGGACUACAGGCGCCCGCCACCACACCUGGCUAAUUUUUUGUAUUUUUAGCCAUGGGGUUUCACCAUGUUAGCCAGGAUGGUCUCAAUCUCCUGACCUCGUGAUCUGCCUGCCUCGGCCUCCCAAAGUGCUGGGAUUACAGACAUGUGCCACCACGCCUGGCUAAUUUUUUGUAUUUUUAGUAGAGAUGGGGUUUCACCGUGUUGGCCAGGCUGGUCUCGAACUCCUGACCUUGGAUGAUCUGCUCGCCUCGGCCUCCCAAAUUGCUGGGAUGACAGACGUGAACCACCGUGCCUGGCCGACAGUCACCUUUAGAAUGUGAACAGUGGACACUGUGUUGGGGUCUCCUACCUGUGCCUGUGAUGUGGACUGGCCCAUCUCGUCAUGGACAAGUAGAGAUGGGGUUUCACCAUGUUGAGCAGUCUGGUCUUGAACUUCUGACCUCGUGAUCCACCCGCCUCAGCCCCCCAAAGUGCUGGGAUUACAGGCGUGAGCCACCGCGCCCGGCCUGAGACGGCUUUCCAAGGCUGCAGAAAUGAAGUCUGCAAUAGCAGAUCCUCUUUGCCUGGGUUUGCACGUGAUCCAGCAAACCACCCACCGACCCGUUGCCUCAUGUGAGACAUCCUCAGGGAACAGCAAGAAUUUUGAAGGUCCCUGAUAAGACAUCUUUGAGGUCAGGCAUAAAUCAUCACUUCACAUCUUGACGGCAAUGCAACGAAGACAAGUAUCUGUCUCUUUGGGUCUGUCUAACAAGGAGCAAAGCCUGGCCUCCCACCAGCAUCCAGACAAUAGUGGAUUCCCUCUCCAUAGAUGUCAAAAAAGAAACAGAUGCUCCCGCAGGUGAAAUGAGCUCUGGUCCACAAUGCAACGCAGGCUGUGCAGAAAAUCAAAGAGGAACCAACCCAGAAGUAUCCCCCAGGACAAAUCAUUAAGGGGGAAAAGGCAAGUGAUAUAAGAAGGGCCCUAAAUGCAAUGACAGCUGUUCUAAGAGACAGAAGAGGAGACGCAGACACAGAGGAGAAGGCCACGUGUAGACAGAGGCAGAGACUGCAGUGAUGUGGCCACAAGCCCAGGGAUGCCUGGAGCCCCCAGGAGCUGGGAGAGGCAGGAAGGAUCCUCCUCUAGAGCCUCCAGAAGGAACUGGAUACAAUUGGAAUGGGUUAUAUGGUGAUCCCCAAAAUAUAUGUUUAUUUCCUUUUCCCCAGAACCUAUAAAUGCAAUCUUACUUGGAAACAGGAUCUCUGCAAAUGUAAUUAGUGAAGGAUCUUGAAAUAAAACCUGUCCUAGAUUAGGGGGUCCUAAAUGCAAGGACAGGUGUCCUUCUAAACACAGAAGGGGAGACCCAGACAGAGGAGAAGGCCACAUGGAGACAGAGACUGGAGUGGUGUAGCCACGAGCCCAGGAAUGCUGGGAGCCCCUGGGA